ensembl:lncRNA
GGGCUCUCUCCCUUGAGCUGCACAGUGGCUGUGUGCGUUGGGCACAACGUUGACCUAAAGCUGACAUUUGAAACGGAGCAGUGAGAAUCUUCACAAAGACAGAAAGGAGGACAACUGUCAGAGAUGUUAUAAAAACUCCAGAGGGGCCCAGCCAGUAAAUUCAAAUGAGGGGAUAUGGUGAAUCCUGCCUCACAGUGUGUGCAUGAGUGGGUGCAGACAGACCACAGCAGCAACACUUUACAGCUUCUGAUCUUCUAAUUUUCCCUCCCAUUUCCUUAUACACGGGUUUGUUUGAGACAGACAUGGCUUGGGGGAUUUUACUUCCAGGUAAGAUCCUGCAGGCAAGGAGCAGCCACCUGAGCAGCACGAAGCAGUGUGUGUCCUUGCAACAAGCCCCCUCACAUCGCUGCUGUUUGUCUGCUCUUUGCAACAGGAACUCAGCCAUCAGCAUUUGUUUCUGCCUGAAAUCUUCUUUAGAAAUCUGCUAUGAGUGCGUGCUUAUUUAGUGUUUAAAACAAGAGAAAUAAAAUAUUUUUCUUCUCUGUAUUUUUAACACAUCAGGUAAGGGACUGCUCAAACCUUCCAAGAAGCCCACGUGAGAUCUAUAGGAGAAACAGUGUGUACUUGCUUGAGGGGUGGUGCUUGCUAGUUAAUGGCCUCUGCUCUCCUCUUCUGGUGCUCUCCUCCCAGGGUUCUUGUUGUCUUUGUUCUAGGAAUAGAUUUGUUGGAAACCUUCUUUAGAGACUUCUCCUUUGUACAGACUUGAUUUUACCUGUGGGCAAGGUACUGUUUUCUUACACAGGGACAUCACAGCAUUGCUGCAUGAAGAAGGAACUUUCAGACGCAGGGAAUGAUGGACUGCUGAAGGGUACCUGCUCACAGAACAACAUGUCAGGAAUCUGAAGUAUGAAAUGCUCAUCUUUGAAAGCAGGCACUCGCGGGGGUUUUUUUCAUCUUGCACAGCCUGUUCAGAGCCCUCAGCCUUGGUUCUUGCUGCAGCAGCGGAUGGGUCAUUGCAGUUGUUUUUCUCUCAUCUGCACUCAGAUGGUUUUCCUUGAAAGAUUCUUCUUCCUGCUGUCACCCGCACUGCUGACAGAUACUUCUCAUUUUUGGAUGCCUCAUGGAUGAAAAUUAUUUUCCAUAUGAUAACAAUUGGAAAGGUCUAAAUUGCAGGUACAUACCACCUAGUGAAAGGUACUGGGAAAGUGCAACUGAUUUCUUCUGUGGUCUGCAGUAUUCCUUCCUUGCUUCCCUCAGAUUCCAUGGACACACUGUCCUUCUGAAGAGCUCCUGCUUCAACUAAAUCUUU